rnacentral:rRNA from 1 species
CGGACGGGUGAGUAAUGUCUGGGAAACUGCCCGAUGGAGGGGGAUAACUACUGGAAACGGUAGCUAAUACCGCAUAACGUCGCAAGACCAAAGAGGGGGACCUUCGGGCCUCUUGCCAUCGGAUGUGCCCAGAUGGGAUUAGCUAGUAGGUGGGGUAACGGCUUACCUAGGCGACGAUCCCUAGCUGGUCUGAGAGGAUGAUCAGCCACACUGGGACUGAGACACGGCCCAG